rnacentral:lncRNA from 1 species
UUGCAAGAAGUGCCGACAGUCCCAUGGAAGAAUUUAAUCAUACAAAACCAAGCCAGACCAAACGCAGUGUUCAACCUGUGGCUAUUCCUACAGGACAGACUCCCAACACAGUCCCAUGGAAGAACUUAAUCAUACAAAACCAAGCCAGACCAAAAGCAGUGUUCAACCUGUGGCUAUUCCUACAGGACAGAUUACCAACAAAUGAUAGACUACAUAGUUGGGGAAUGAGUAUUGAUCAGCAAUACACCCUAUGCCAAAUCCAACCUGAAACAAGAGAUCAUCUGCUCAGGAACUGCCCUGUCACUGUGGAUCUAUGGGGAAUGAACUGGCUGCAGGAACAAUACCUACCUAGUAUUAGUUGGAACCAGAAAGUGCAAUGGUUUGAACUGGUUGCAGGAACAAUACCUACCUAGUAUUGAUUGGAACCAGAAAGUGCAAUGGUUGAUUACCAAAGCCAAGGGACGAACAUGUCGUGCAACCAUUUUUAAAAUGGUUACAGCUGAAGUUGCAUAUGCUAUCUGCUGGAAAGGAAUUCAAGAGUAUUCAACAAGACUUUUCGAUGUAAUACUGCUUUACUGAGAGACAUAGUGUAUAAUUGUAAUGUUAGAGGCGCCCCUAGAAUUAGGCAACAAUUGCAACACCUUAGAUUGUAGUAAAAGUUAGAUAGUUAGGAUAAUAAGUGUAGUUAAUAUGUUAGCACUCAGACAGUCGGCCGAGUUGAAGCUUGACUGUGGUUUUGUAAUGUAACUUCAUUGGUGAUUAAUGAAAAAACCUUAAUUACCAAAAAAAAAGAGAUCGUAAUAGGUGAAUGCAAUAUCUUAUGUUAUUAAGUGCAUGACCAACACUAUAGCUAAUUUUAUACCGUGUACUCAUAUGAGUUUGAAAUUCCAGUUUGAGGCGAUGCUUUCAAAUUCGACUGCCUAAUCUGAUUGUCCUUUUGAUUUGUUUAAAUGAGACUACCACAUAUCCCUACUACAUUACCUACUAGAAAAAAUUUUAACAUGAAAACGCACAACCAUUACAAAAUGCUAUCACUGAGCAUGGCAUUUCUUGUUACUGAUAUUUAACACAGUCCUAGACAACUUUUAACAUCAAUACUGCAGCUAAUUAACAGAUAUAUGUAACCACUAACAGAAAUGAACUUGCUCUUUUACUAAGAAGAAUAAAAUUUUAACAGUCCUAUAUCAGUCUAAUUAUACAUUCAGCAACAAUUCACACGACAUUAGUGAAUGAAAUAUCCAAAAUACGAAUCAGUGGAACAGUUAAAUCAACUUAAGCUUCAAAUCCUCAUGUAUAUUCAGGCUCAAUGUUUCCUGCUUACAAAUUUGCAAGGUUACAGCCGUGUACCUGGGAAUCAGUUUACAGCAGAUGAAGAAGGAGUCAGCAAUAGUUAGCGCAUGUAACAGUAGAGCAGCAAUCACCAGCAACAAAUAGGACCAAUUCAGGGGUAAACCAAAUCAGAAUAUCCAGGAAGAAAGAGAAUCAAUCCAAAACCAUACUGAACUUAAUCGAAAUUGGACUGGGAGAAUUAUAAAUCACCUUGAGUCACGAGAUUUAACCUACAAUCAGCUCAAACCCAUUCACACAGACUCGAAACUGAAACCAAGUGAUCCAAUACCCCUACAGCUACUAGAAAUGUGCAGUGAUGAUUUGACUAAGCCUCAAAACUACUUUCAAUGGCCAUGAAUAUGAAGAUUACCCAAGGAAGCAAUUGAACAGUAAACUGCUUUUUUGUUUUUUUGUUUGUUUUCUAUUGUUGUUAGAUUUUUGAAUAUUUUAGAGUUUUGAUCUCAAGUUUCAGAUAUGAAACUUGUAGAGAAUGGGAGGGAAUUUUGUGAGGCUCCAAAACUUGUUAGUGAAGAAAAGGUCAUGCCCUUUUAUAAGCACAAUCAAAUUUUCAGUUUUUCUUUUAGUCCCUCCUAAUUUUUAGUUGUUGUCCCUCAUUUUUAACCUUGUUAUUCAAGGAAACACCCUGAGUUUAUUGAGAUAUUUACUAGGGUCCUAUUCUAGAAAGGUCUACACAAUUCUAAUGUGAUCUACCAUGUUCUACCUAAUACCAAAUACCUAAACUAACCUUUAAUACCUCUAAAAUUACUUAUCCUAACCCCUACAUAUAAUCAUCCAGUUAACAAACUUAAUCAAACUAAACACACGACAAAGUGAUCAAUUGUGAAUGAAAUAAGCCAUUCAAUCAAAAACAUAAAACCAACUGAACCUAAUCAAAGUUAAUAACCAAAUAAUACUUCACACUAUUACUGACUACACACAAUUAUAAUUGAGACUAUAAAUAACGAGUCAUUAUUCAAACAGCAAAAUCGACACAAAUCUAUCCUUAACAGAAUGAAUAACCAUUAACACCUAAAACUAAUUAUGAAUCAAGUAGAUAGGAGUCAGAAUGAAACAGAAGUAAAGGAGGGACCAUGAUUUCGGGUUGACAAUUUUACUAAACAAAAUUAAGAAGCUACACAGCCAUGGAAGGUUAGUUAACAUUAAGAAAAAGAAAAUAAAAGAAACUAAACUCGAAGAUUCACCAACUCACUUCAAGACUUCGGUCAAAUUGCUUCCCAAAUUCAGCGAAUUCAGACGAUGUUUGGACUCUAAUGAUGAUCAAUUUCCCAUGAGGAAACCCCAGGGAUCUUAUCGUACUCACUCAGUCAGGAUUGGGUUAUUUAGGGCUUUGGCUGGAAAAAUUGAAAUUGAUAUUCGGGCACUUCCAGCUAGAUUCGAGACAAGUGGUUAUGGGGGUUAGGUAGAGGGUGCUCGGGCGACCCUAGGGUAUUAGUUUGGUGUCGUUUGGAGUAACCGUCGUCAUGACCGGAAAACUUUGAUCGAUUAUUCGACGACCUGGGCUGGGAUUUGGAGGAAAUGGACUAGGGAUUCAAGGUGAGGGAGACGAGGAAAAGUUGGGGUGUUAAUCUAAUGGCCAUUGGUGGUGGUGGCAUUCACCACCGGCGAAGGCUCCGACGGGGUCGGUGGUGUUACAGCAGAUACGUACGAGGAAGAAAACAUAUGCUUUAGAGUUUGAUUUAUUUUUAGGACAGUUAUAUCCAAAUGCACAAAUCAAUUAUGACCAUCAAAUGAGAAUGAAUAGAUGGACAUGAUUUAUUUGUUACUAACCAGCCUGAAAAUGACGUAGUAACCUCUCCGAUACGUCGUUUUAUGAUUUUCGGAGGGAUGGGGCUUGGAUCGAGCUGGGGAAGGGGCUUGGGCAAUUCUG